rnacentral:rRNA from 1 species
UAUUAGGGCGUAAAGCGCGCGCAGGCGGCUUCUUAAGUCCAUCUUAAAAGUGCGGGGCUUAACCCCGUGAUGGGAUGGAAACUGAGAGGCUGGAGUAUCGGAGAGGAAAGUGGAAUUCCUAGUGUAGCGGUGAAAUGCGUAGAGAUUAGGAAGAACACCGGUGGCGAAGGCGACUUUCUGGACGACAACUGACGCUGAGGCGCGAAAGCGUGGGGAGCAA